UGUGGAAACCCUGGAAGAUCUGAAAUAUGUCCAGGAGCCAGAUCUUAUUAACGUCCUGAGGCCAUUUGAAGCUAGAAAAUUGAUUGCACAGAUUAAAGCUUUACCUGAGAAAGAUGCUAGUGAGAUUCCUGAUCAGCCUACCAGAGCUCAGCCGAAUGUAACGCCAUGCAGAGAGCAUUCAUCUACAAAUGCCUUUUCAAGAUAAAUCCGGACAGGGGGACCAAGGUGGAGAA